UAUGCAACCUGGCUGUAAGAGGGGAAUAACCCGGAGAAAUCCGGACUAAUACCGCAUAAUACUUAGAAUCCGCAUGGAUUUUAAGUUAAACAUUUAUGGCUUACAGAUGGGCAUGCGUAUGAUUAGCUGGUUGGAGAGGUAACGGCUCCCCAAGGCAACGAUCAUUAGGGGUUCUGAGAGGAAGGUCCCCCACACUGGUACUGAGACACGGACCAGACUCCUACGGGAGGCAGCAGUGAGGAAUAUUGGUCAAUGGACGCAAGUCUGAACCAGCCAAAAGUCGCGUGAAGGAAGAAUGUCCUAUGGAUUGUAAACUUCUUUUGAAGGGGAAUAAAGUACGGUACGUGUACCGUUUUGCAUGUACCCUUCGAAUAAGGAUCGGCUAACUCCGUGCCAGCCGCCGC
rnacentral:rRNA from 1 species